rnacentral:SRP_RNA from 1 species
CAAUAGCCACUGCACUCCAG